rnacentral:lncRNA from 1 species
AUGCUUUCCUGCAUUCAUCACAUUCAUCACUUCUUAUGGCAUACCAAUGUUCCAUUAUAUUCACGUACCACAAGUGCUUUAGUCAUUCCACAGCCAAUGGGCAUCUACUUUGUUUUCAGUACUUUGCUGCCACAAAAAAGUGCUGCUAAAAAUAUUUUGGUGUCUACGGAGCCUCUCUUUUUGUCAUUGAUCUCCUUGGAGUAUACGCCUAGCAGUGGGAUCUCUGGCCCAAAGAAGAUGGACAUUUUAGCCACUUACUCAAUUCCCCAGUUGCUUUCCAGAAUAAUAUUGUUCUUAUUUUUAAUAGUUUCUCCUUCCCAUUUGAAGAUAUCUCUCUUUCCAAACCAGACUUCAUCACUCAGAUGGAGAAAGGCAAAGGAACAUGGAAUUGGGAAGGUGCCAAGAAACCAAAAGAUCCCAAGGGACUGCCCAGCUGGAACAGAACAUGGGAGACCAGCUGAAGACUGGAGAAAAAUGAGAAGGGUUAUCAGCUGAAAUGUCUCAUGUAUGAGUACUCUCAAGGGAUGUGCACAGGAAGGUCUUAAGAGGAGAAGAAAGUUCCUGGAUUUUUGGAAGAACCCAUGUGAGUCAGUGCAUUUCAGAAAAGCAGCAGGGGAGUCUUAGGGAACAGGCAGAAAAGAUCCAUUCCCAAGAUAAGGGAUCUGGGGAACCUCAUUUUAAUCGACCCUAAAACUAGACCAAGUUUUGAGAAAGACUCUCUCUUUAGUGAAUGUGGGAAAUCUUAAGUAACCAUUCCAAUCCUAAAAAGUAUCCAAAAAUCCAUCCAGGGGAGAAUGCUACAAUUGUGUGGAAUGUGAAAAAGGGCUCAAUUACAGCUACUUGUACAGUCGACAUCUUAGAAUCCCUGCCAAGGGGGCGGGGGAAUAACCCAAAACCUAUAAGAGCCCUGGGAGUGAGAACUCCUUUAGUGAGAACUCCAACAUCAAACAAUCCGAAGGGGGAGAAAAAACCUAAUUUCUAUCUUGCACUGAGUGUGGAGAUCAGUUCUAUAUGAAAUCAUCCCUCCUCACCCCCCAAAGAAUCCACACAGGAGAGAUAUCCUAUAAAUGUCCCCAGUGUGGGAAAAGCUUUACUCACCAUACAACACUUAUUAAAUGUCAGAGGACCCACACUGGAGAAAAACCAUAUACAGUUAGUUCUGCUAUAACUCUUGUUUUGAAAAUGGGAAUUUAUUCCAAUAUGAUUGCUAUAUUAGGCAACCCUUUGAGCAUAAUGCUAAUUUUAGUUUGCUUAUGUGCGAUUUCAUCCACAAAAAACAGCUAGAAUGCAGAAAACUGCACCCAGCUGAACUGAGCCGUGGAAGAACAAAACACACUCACCUUAAAUAUCUACCAGCUACUUCAGUUCACCCUGUGUUAUCCUAUAAGGUUGUGUUUUGCUGCAUUUUUUUUCAUUUGUGAACUUUUCUACACACACACACACACACACACACACACACACACACACACACACACACACACACAUAUAAAAC